AGUGGCGGACGGGUGAGUAACGCGUGAGAAUCUGCCUUGGGGUCGGGGACAACCACUGGAAACGGUGGCUAAUACCGGAUAAGCCGAUUGGUGAAAGAUUUAUUGCCCGAAGAGGAGCUCGCGUCUGAUUAGCUAGUUGGUGAGGUAAGAGCUCACCAAGGCAGCGAUCAGUAGCUGGUCUGAGAGGACGAUCAGCCACACUGGGACUGAGACACGGCCCAGACUCCUACGGGAGGCAGCAGUGGGGAAUUUUCCGCAAUGGGCGAAAGCCUGACUGAGCAAGACCGCGUGAGGGAGGAAGGCUCUUGGGUUGUAAACCUCUUUUCUCAGGGAAGAAGCUCUGACGGUACCUGAGGAAUCAGCCUCGGCUAACUCCGUGCCAGCAGCCGCGGUAAUACGGAGGAGGCAAGCGUUAUCCGGAAUUAUUGGGCGUAAAGCGUCCGCAGGUGGCGAUUCAAGUCUGCUGUCAAAACACGGGGCUUAACUCCGUAAAGGCAGUGGAAACUGAAUAGCUAGAGUGCCGUAGGGGUAGAGGGAAUUCCCGGUGUAGCGGUGAAAUGCGUAGAGAUCGGGAAGAACAUCGGUGGCGAAAGCGCUCUACUGGACGGCAACUGACACUCAGGGACGAAAGCUAGGGGAGCGAAUGGGAUUAGAUACCCC
rnacentral:rRNA from 1 species